rnacentral:tRNA from 1 species
CCGCCGCCUGGAUCAGCUUGAGCAGGAUGUUCUCGACGUCCUCACCGACGUAGCCCGCCUCGGUCAGCGCGGUGGCGUCCGCGAUGGCGAAC